CUUAAGGAGAUCCAUCCCAGCAUACUACGCCAGUCCGUUACACUCUCUCCGGUCCGCUCCUCCACGGGUGCCGCUGGUUCUUCCUCGUCACCGGCUGUCUACGCCGUCCUCGGCGCCUCCACUCGCUCCAAGCUGUGCUCGCCGUCCUCGGCGCUCCACCUCGUCACAGGCUGUCUACGUUGUCCCUGACAUUCCUCCUCGUCCACGACUCGCAUCACCCUCAGAUUAAAUCUUCUGACUCUG